rnacentral:lncRNA from 1 species
GAUCUAUGGGGUGUGGGUCUGUAUGGGAUUUUGAGAUUUAUGGGGCUGUGGGGCUGUACGGGAUUUUGGGAUCUAUGGGGCUGUGGGGCUGUAUGGGAUUUUGGGACCUAUGGGGCCGUAUGGGAUUUUGGGAUCUAUGGGGCUAUAUGGGAUUCUGGGAUCUAUGGGGCUGUAUGGGAUUUUGGGAUCUGUGGGGCUGUAUGGGAUUUUGGGAUCUAUGGGGCUGUGUGGGAUUUUGGGAUCUGUGGGGCUGUAUGGGAUUUUGGGAUCUAUGGGGCUGUAUGGGAUUUUGGGAUCUAUGGGGCUAUAUGGGAUUUUGGGAUCUAUGGGGCUGACCCCCAUCCCCUAUUUGGGGUUUUUCUCCUUUCAGAAGUCAGAGCACGGGGAAGGGCCCCCCCCCGACACCGAUGUUCGAGGGCGUCUACAACAAUUCCCGAAUGCUGCACUUCCCCACCGCCGUCGUGGGCUCGACGUGCGCAGUGCGCGUGCGCAGCGGCAGCACCUUCGAGGGCAUCUUCCGCACCCUCAGCUCCAAGGUGACCUUUGACCCCUGACCCCGUGACCCCUCCUGACCCCUUGUGACCCCCCCGUGACCCCUACUGACCCUUGUGACCCCCCCGUGACCCCUCCUGAUCCACGUGACUCUUCCUGACCCCAUGACCCCUUGUGACCCCUCCUGACCCCAUGUGACCCCAUGACCCCCCCUGACCCCAUGAUCCUCCUUGAUCCCUUGUGACCUUUUGACCCCACAGCAGCCAUUUCCUGACCUGUGACCUUUCUUAACCCUUGACCUCUUGUGACCUUUCUUGACCUUUGGUGACCCCAUGACCUCUCUUGACCCCGUGACCUUUCCUGUUUCCUGAUCCUGUGACCCCUGACCCCGUAUCGGCCCUAUUUCUCCAACGACUUUCUGUUGACCCCUGACCUUUGACCCUGUGACCCCAUGACCCCUGAUCCCCUGAUCCCAUUUUUUGACCACAGUGACCCCUGACCUUUGACCCCGUGAUCUCUGACCCCAUGACCCCACAGUCCCAUUAAUAACCCUACUGAUCCCCAUUCAAUUCCAUCAUCCUAUCACCCCACUCUUUUCCCCUUUUCCCCCCGACCCCAUUGAGCCUUGACCCCGUGACCCCAAGUUUUUUGACUCCUGUGACCCCGUGACCCCUGACCCCAUGACCUCUGACCCCAUAACCCCACAAUCCCAUUAAUAACCCCACUGCUCCCCAUUCAACCCCAUCAUCCCCCUUUUUCCCCCAUUAACCCUUCACGCCUCUCCCCCCCC